ACUAAAUAUUAAUCUGGUGAAAGGCAUUUUUUUACAAGGGCUUCGAGUCAAACCGUAUCAAGUAGGCCUAUCCCUUUUUUUAAGUUUCGUUUUUAAAGAAAUAGAGAAGGGCGUUUACCACACCUUGGAUAAAAGUCUUCCACUAGCUCUCUCAUUUAUCAUCUGCUUCCACGAUGGGCUACGUUGGCAAUUUCUUCAUUCUUUCUUUGACAAUAUCAACCGUUGGGGGAUUAAGAUGCUUCAAGUGUAUCUCCGGAGACUACCUCUCCUGCUUUAACACCGUUGAAUGUCACUCAUCCAUGGAUCGCUGUUUCACCACUGGCCUAGGGGAUACCUUGAUCAAGGGAUGUCAAUUCAGUCCUGUCUGUGUCCUGCCAGGGACCGGUUGCUGCAAAGGCGAUUUGUGUAACUUUUGAAAUUCCAGCAAUAGCAUUGGAUCAAGCUUCAUCCUUCUGCUGUUGUCUACCGCUGCACUGUAUUUCCUCUGAUCAGUGGGUCUGCAUGCACUCUAGAAACCUGGGGCCAAUUCACUAAUGAAUCUCCAGAUAAUGACAUUCUGUUCAUUAUCUGGAGACUAUGUUUGCAUCUAGAUUACAUUUAGGGCCUUAAGCAGAUGCUUUUAUCCAGAACGACUUACAAUUAUUACAUUUGUCGGACGAAAAAGAAGCAACAAUGUAACGCUGUUGGUAGGCCUACAGUGAGGAUGUUUCUGUGUUUAUACUUUUCUGAUGAAGAAUUUCUACGAAGUUCCUAAUAUACCUAUUGUUUUACGGAUACUACCAGUGAUUGUUCCAUUUAACCAUUGUCACAUCAUAAAUACCAAUUGAUAAACAAUAAGGCAUAUACGUGUAGCACAGUUGAAAGGAAUGACCCUAGAAUACGUGAUGCAGUUUCUGUUUUGGACAAGGCAAUUGAAUAGUGGUUGCAAAACAAACAAAAAGUACGAGAAAAUAAAUAUCAAUUUGCAG